UCGAUUGAAGAGUGGAGUAAGAAAUCUCUCGAUUGGGGUAACAAGGAUCGCCACUUGUAAAGGAAAAUAAAUCGAAUAGCUUCGAUUGAAUAAAAGAAAUCUUAGAUCAAAAUCAAUUCCAAGAGAAAAGAACAAAAUGUUUAAGAAAAUAAAAGAAAACUAAGUCUAAAUCCUACUCCUAAUCUACGAAGGUUUUUGGAUGCAUCUAAGACGACUUAGUUACAUCAAACCCUUAAGGUUUUAUUUAUAGAAGUAUUAGCAGGCUGAAUUAGGCCUUCAGUACAUCCUAGGUCUUCUCAUAAAGUUGAUUGUGCGAACGAAAAUAGUCUUGAAAUGCUUGGGCUCCACGUUGGUCCUAUGUCGUGCCAUACAUAAGCUAUGGCGUGACAUGACAUGCAUUUUAUGGGCUUGGAAAUCCUUGUCAUGCUUUCGCGCCUUGGAAAGUUUAUACAUCACUCGUCUCAAAUCCCCACAUUCAUUUGGCCCUAAAUUCAGUGUCCUACACACUCAAUUACACAAAUUAGAACUACCUUAGGCCCGUGUCGGCCUAAUAGGUCACUGACAUUCAAAACUGUGUAAAAACACUUGUUUUAUUAAUAUUUAAUACUAAACUACUAAAUACUGAAAAUGAAAUAAUUAAUACUAAAAUACCUGGAAAACAAGCUUCUUAAAUGUCGAAACGUAUCUAAACUAGCACUACAAUUAGCAGCAGGUCAGCCAUCAAGUUACAAGGGUGGGCAAUUUGUAGGUAAUAUUGGUUUUAACAUAGGGUUGACGAGAACGAAUAAUAUACUCUUUACAACUUGUACUAGCGAAGGGACAUUCAACCCUAGCCAUACAACUAGGGUUGAUAACGAAGAGGAAGUUGAGAAUGAAGAGAGAAAAGAGAACAAAGAGGGAGUUGAGAAUGAAGAGGAAUCUGAAACUGAUGAUGAUUCAAUCCGGGAAUCUGGGUCGAAUGGUUCAAAAAUUGCAUUAUUUUUUGAACCAGAGGUCACUCCUAUUGAAAGGAGUGAUUCUGACGGUAAAGGUUCGGACAAUACUAGAGGAACCAAAUUUUACGAUAUAUGCACCUCCACCCACAUGCUUAAUGUCGACCUUGAUGUUAAGAGGAUUUCCAAAACUUCCUUAUAAAAGAUUAGGUUACCCAAGUUCUUCUACAAAAUUCGACGAUUUACAAGUUGGAAUGGGGUUUUCCUCUAAAGAUGCUUUUGUUGCU
rnacentral:lncRNA from 1 species